GAUCCUGGCUCAGGACGAACGCUGGCGGCGUGCCUAACACAUGCAAGUCGAACGGAAGCAAAGAUUUCGGUUUUUGCUUUAGUGGCGAACGGGUGAGUAACGCGUGAGGAACCUGCCUUUCAGUGGGGGACAACAGUUGGAAACGACUGCUAAUACCGCAUAAUACUUUCGAGCGGCAUCGUUUGAAAGUCAAAGAUUUAUUGCUGAAAGAUGGCCUCGCGUCUGAUUAGCUAGUUGGUGGGGUAACGGCUC
rnacentral:rRNA from 1 species